rnacentral:misc_RNA from 1 species
CCAAGAGUAUCAAAUAGAGAUGCAAAUGGCAAUCGCACAAGCGACCCAUUGUGUGUGUUCCCUUCAAUAUCUACACGAUCAAAUUCAAUAUCCCUUGCAUUUUCUAAUGCUUUGCAGUAAGGAUUGUCAAGAGAAAUAUGUAUUUGCUUUGGCAUCUGAAGCAGCACUGUCAUCACUUCUGUCUGUUACAGACUCAUCACCCACCAUGCAUUUAUGAUAAUAAUUAAGUAUGAGCAAGACAUGAAGACUGCAGUCUGCCAAUGUAUUUCUUUUGGCUUCACCAUUUGAACUGGCCAAAUAAUUGAAUGGCAGGAAUACAAAAG